GUGCCGGUAGUGCAGAGGUUCAGCACACGCUCCCGGAAAGAGUGCGAUCUGGGUUCGAAUCCCAGCUGAUACA